AACGAACGCUGGCGGCAGGCCUAACACAUGCAAGUCGAACGCUGUAGCAAUACAGAGUGGCAGACGGGUGAGUAACACGUGGGAACCUACCUAUUGGUACGGAAUAGCUCAGGGAAACUUGAGGUAAUACCGUAUACGCCCUUACGGGGAAAGAUUUAUCGCCGAUAGAUGGGCCCGCGUCUGAUUAGCUAGUUGGUGAGGUAAUGGCUCACCAAGGCGACGAUCAGUAGCUGGUUUGAGAGAAUGACCAGCCACACUGGGACUGAGACACGGCCCAGACUCCUACGGGAGGCAGCAGUGGGGAAUCUUGGACAAUGGGCGCAAGCCUGAUCCAGCCAUGCGCGUGAGUGACGAAGGCCUUAGGGUUGUAAAGCUCUUUUGCGGGGACGAUAAUGACGGUACCGCAGAAUAAG
rnacentral:rRNA from 1 species